UACGGAAGGUCCGAGCGUUAUCCGGAUUUAUUGGGUUUAAAGGGUGCGCAGGCGGGUUGUCAAGUCAGCCGUCAAAUCGUGGGGCUCAACUCCAUCCAGCGGUUGAAACUGGCGACCUUGAGUGCGGCAGAGGGAAGCGGAAUUCGUGGUGUAGCGGUGAAAUGCAUAGAUAUCACGAAGAACUCCGAUUGCGAAGGCAGCUUCCUGGACCGUAACUGACGCUGAGGCACGAAGGUGUGGGAAUC
rnacentral:rRNA from 1 species